AACAGGAUUAGAUACCCUGGUAGUCCACACUGUAAACGAUGAUAACUCGCUGUCGGCGAUACACAGUCGGUGGCCAAGCGAAAGCAUUAAGUUAUCCACCUGGGGAGUACGACCGCAAGGUUGAAACUCAGAGGAAUUGACGGGGGCCCGCACAAGCGGAGGAACAUGUGGUUUAAUUCGAUGAUACGCGAGGAACCUUACCCGGGCUCGAACGGUGCAUGAAUAUACGAGAGAUUGUAUAGUCCUUCGGGACAUGUAUCGAGGUGCUGCGUGGUUGUCGUCAGCUCGUGCCGUGAGGUGUCGGCUUAAGUGCCAUAACGAGCGCAACCCUUGUCAUUAGUCGCCAUCAGGUCAAGCUGGGGACUUUAAUGAGACUGCCACCGUAAGGUGUGAGGAAGGGGGGGAUGACGUCAAAUCAGCACGGCCCUUAUGUCCGGGGCGACACACGUGUUACAAUGGGAGGUACAGAGGGCAGCUAUCCGGUGACGGAAUGCUAAUCUCCAAAACCUUUCUCAGUUCGGAUUGGAGUCUGCAACUCGACUCCAUGAAGGUGGAUUCGCUAGUAAUCGCGCAUCAGCCAUGGCGCGGUGAAUACGUUCCCGGGCCUUGUACACACCGCCCGUCAAGCCAUGGAAGCUUGGGGUGCCUGAAGUUCGUGACCGCAAGGAGCGACCUAAGGCAAAACAGGUAACUGGGGCUAAGUCGUAACAAGGUAACC
rnacentral:rRNA from 1 species